GGCUUCAUGGUCUAGUGGUAUGAUUCCUGCUUUGGGCUUAGUGUUCAAACCUGCAGGAGGCCCCGCGUUCGAAUCGCGGUGGAGCCC